UGUGCUGAGUUUGGGCCAUCCCUGUGCCUG
rnacentral:piRNA from 1 species